rnacentral:misc_RNA from 1 species
AACGCGUAUUUUCGCCUAACGAUAUGGAAGUAAAUUGUGCACUCGCUGUUUCCAUCGAGUCUAUAACAAUUUAAAGAAAGAUCGAAACUAAGACAGGAAACGCGAAAUGUUUGUGCGACCAUUUGGUAUAAAUUACUUUUAGCUGUGACCGAUUGCAGAAAAUAUGUCUUAGAUUGCCAUUUGACGUUUCAUAGUGAAUAUGGUAGAGUAGAAGUGAAAAAGUUUGCGCGUAUGAAAAUAUAUAUUCUACGCGUGACGUUGUUCAAAGAGAUGGUUUCCUUCACCCUGCUAUAUACGUAUCACCAGUCCGGAAGUCGUUUGAGGUGCUGCGAUGCCUAAUCGUUUGCUUGCGGAAUUCUCGUCAACCUUUUCUGCUUCUGUUCUUCAUUCGUUACGUAAAAGAGCA